UCGGUAGCCGGACUGAGAGGUUGAACGGCCACAUUGGGACUGAGACACGGCCCAGACUCCUACGGGAGGCAGCAGUGGGGAAUAUUGCACAAUGGGGGAAACCCUGAUGCAGCGACGCCGCGUGGAGGAAGAAGGUCUUCGGAUUGUAAACUCCUGUCCCAGGGGACGAUAAUGACGGUACCCUGGGAGGAAGCACCGGCUAACUACGUGCCAGCAGCCGCGGUAAAACGUAGGGUGCAAGCGUUGUCCGGAAUUACUGGGUGUAAAGGGAGCGCAGGCGGAUUGGCAAGUUGGGAGUGAAAUCUAUGGGCUCAACCCAUAAAUUGCUUUCAAAACUGUCAGUCUUGAGUGGUGUAGAGGUAGGCGGAAUUCCCGGUGUAGCGGUGGAAUGCGUAGAUAUCGGGAGGAACACCAGUGGCGAAGGCG
rnacentral:rRNA from 1 species